CCGGUUGAGAAAUCGAUACUUUAAACCUACUGGACCCGGAAUAAAAACGUGACCGAACUGAGAACUGUUUGUGGACGUUGCGGCUGAGAGGAUCAGCGUGUCGAUUCCUGCCAAUCCUCGUCAUAGUGUAUUCGUCAGCUGUACCAAACCCAGGUGUUUAGUGCCAGUGGGCUGGAGUUGCAUUGAUCCGUCGUUGUGUUGUUGCCAAACCGAAUCUUCUGUAGUUCAGUCACGAAGCGACAGUGCGUUUGUCGUCGAUCUCAGCAAGCCUGACGGAUAUUGGAAUUCUGACAAAAGAAGGUGUCGACUUCCGCAGGAGCGAAUUAGAGCGUUGAAUUCCUUGUGUGCAGUUUACUGAAAGGGCAGGACUCUACUUGGUAUCAUGAUGCGUUUCGCCAUGUUGUUCAGUGUGAUACUGAUCAUCAUUCUGACCGUAAUAUCUCAAGUACAGGGGCAGACUGAAGAAGAUGAGGUGAUGGAAAUUGACCCUGUGAUGAUUGCCAUGUGCGAGGGCGUCUACGUAGGCCGUCGGUGCGGUGAGGAUAACUGCGGGUCUACCAAAGGAUGUACCGUCUACCGCUGUAACCGGCUCUUCAACCUGUGCCAGGCGGACUUUGUAAGGAGGAUCUUCAAAUAGACAUCACGUCAAUAAUUAUAAGCUUUCUCCCUUAGCCUACACUUCUGAGAUAAUGAUGGACACAAUAGGAGGGCGCAAUUUGGUUGGGUAAACUCUUUUGCAUUGUACUCAAAUUCAUCCAUGCAAGAUAAGGGGCACGAUUAAAGGGCACGAUUAAAUGUACAGCAAGCAAAAUUUCAAGGUCAACUUUCUGUCUGGCACAUUAUGACUUCAUCAUACAACGGCACUAAAAUGAGUAUAGACCUUUAUCAUGCUGCCACCAUUUCGGUCAUG